AGUUUGAUCAUGGCUCAGAUUGAACGCUGGCGGCAGGCCUAACACAUGCAAGUCGAACGGUAACAGGAAUCAGCUUGCUGAUUCGCUGACGAGUGGCGGACGGGGGAGUAAUGUCUGGGAAACUGCCUGAUGGAGGGGGAUAACUACUGGAAACGGUAGCUAAUACCGCAUAACGUCGCAAGACCAAAGAGGGGGACCUUCGGGCCUCUUGCCAUCGGAUGUGCCCAGAUGGGAUUAGCUAGUAGGUGGGGUAACGGCUCACCUAGGCGACGAUCCCUAGCUGGUCUGAGAGGAUGACCAGCCACACUGGAACUGAGACACGGUCCAGACUCCUACGGGAGGCAGCAGUGGGGAAUAUUGCACAAUGGGCGCAAGCCUGAUGCAGCCAUGCCGCGUGUAUGAAGAAGGCCUUCGGGUUGUAAAGUACUUUCAGCGGGGAGGAAGGGAGUAA
rnacentral:rRNA from 1 species